UACGUAGGGGGCAAGCGUUGUCCGGAAUCAUUGGGCGUAAAGAGCGUGUAGGCGGUCCGGUAAGUCGGUUGUGAAAGUCCAGGGCUCAACCCUGGGAUGCCGACCGAUACUGUCGGACUAGAGUUCGGAAGAGGCGAGUGGAAUUCCCGGUGUAGCGGUGAAAUGCGUAGAUAUCAAGAGGAACACCUGAGGUGAAGACGGGUUGCUGGGCUGACACUGACGCUGGAGGCGCGAAAGCCAGGGGAGCAAACGGG
rnacentral:rRNA from 1 species